rnacentral:ncRNA from 1 species
UUAGAUAGAGGUGCGGCUGCGAUCAGUAACCACGCUGAGGACUACCGGUCCCGUGAAGCGCAGCGAAAGGCAAUGCCGCCGAGAAGAAAUGAUUGGUAACCAUUUCUUCGGCUGUAGGCUUAACAGGCUUUCGGCUGUCAUCGUGUUUAUGAUGGAGCGCUAUCGG